GGGCCCGUAGUCGAUCGGUUAAGACGCCUGUCUCACACACAGGAGAUGCGGAGUUCGAUUCUCCGCGGGCCCA
rnacentral:tRNA from 2 species